rnacentral:rRNA from 1 species
GAGAAAAGUGGAGCAAUCCAUGAGUACAGUGGCGUACGGGUGAGUAACACGUGGAUCAUCUACCUUCUAGUGGGGAAUACCCCCGGGAAACUGGGGACAAUACCGCAUAAGCUCGUAAGAGGAAAGCAGCAAUGCGCUGGAAGAGGAGUCCGCGGCUGAUUAGCUAGUUGGCGGGGUAACGGCCCACCAAGGCGAAGAUCGGUAGCCGGCCUGAGAGGGCACACGGCCACACUGGCACUGAAACACGGGCCAGACUCCUACGGGAGGCAGCAGUGGGGAAUCUUGCACAAUGGAGGAAACUCUGAUGCAGCGACGCCGCGUGAGCGAUGAAGCCCUUCGGGGUGUAAAGCUCUUUCGACGGGAACGAUAAUGACGGUACCCGAAGAAGAAGCUGCGGCUAACUACGUGCCAGCAGCCGCGGUAAUACGUAGGGGGCCAGCGUUGCUCGGAAUUACUGGGCGUAAAGGGUCCGUAGGCGGUGCUCUAAGUCUGUUGUGAAAUCUCCCGGCUCAACUGGGAGGGUGCGGCGGAAACUGGAGUGCUCGAGUGUGGGAGAGGUAAGCGGAAUUCCUGGUGUAGCGGUGAAAUGCGUAGAUAUCAGGAGGA